GCUGUGUUAUUGGCCGUCCGAAACAUGUUACCCUACAACAUCUGUGCCAAAGGUGAAAAUUCUUGUGAAACGUGAAAGAAAAUAUCGGGACCUCGUUGUAAGCAAGACACAGAUGAGAAAACCGAUCACUACGUUUCAAGUGAAUAAAAUAAAGCGUUUAUAGCGGCGAAAUAACGCAUUUCAAUAGUUGCAUGCACAAUACCAACUUUAGUAAAGUGUUUAUCCAGCCACUUGAGAUCCAUAGCCACACAAAUGAAGAAUUUGACCGUUAUUAUACAGGAAGUAGGGCCUACCAGCACGCUGAAAACAUGUGACCUUUUCACAUUUGUAGAACAAACCAUUCCCACAACGUUGGCACAGUUGCAUAACGACAAUGUUUUCUGAAUUUGCAUACUAUUCUGCUCAGGAGUAUAGAAUCUAGUACGUCAUAAUGCAAAACCGACACCUGCUGCAUUCCUGUCGUAUGCGUUCUUCUUUGCAGUGGACACUGACUUGGCCUCAGGUCACACCACCUCAGCAAGGCAUC